UUUGAAGGUGUUUUUGCUAGAUAAGGCAUU
rnacentral:piRNA from 1 species